AACAAACAUUAUCAUAAAUCAUUGAUUUAUGGAAUUGGGCAUUUAUUUCAAUACACAAGAUUUAUUGCCUUAAAUUUACGUCAUUAUGAAAUUCUCUCUAAAUGGAGCAAUUAAACAUUCUCGUUUGGUUGGGACAUUUCAUUUACAAGCUAUUACGAUUUUCACGCACAAAGACGCUUUUAACAAAGUGGGUCUCAGCUACGAUCGUAAGUUAAUUUAA
rnacentral:misc_RNA from 1 species